rnacentral:rRNA from 1 species
CCUACGGGGGACAGCAGUAGGGAAUAUUGCGCAAUGGGGGAAACCCUGAAGCAGCAACGCCGCGUGGAGGAUGAAGGUUUUCGGAUUGUAAACUCCUUUUGUUAGAGAAGAGAAUGACGGUAUCUAACGAAUAAGCACCGGCUAACUCCGUGCCAGCAGCCGCGGUAAUACGGAGGGUGCAAGCGUUACUCGGAAUCACUGGGCGUAAAGGGCGCGUAGGCGGGAUAGCAAGUCAGAUGUGAAAUCCUAUGGCUUAACCAUAGAACUGCAUUUGAAACUGUUAUUCUAGAGUAUGGGAGAGGUAGGUGGAAUUCUUGGUGUAGGGGUGAAAUCCGUAGAGAUCAAGAGGAAUACUCAUUGCGAAGGCGACCUGCUAGAACAUAACUGACGCUGAUGCGCGAAAGCGUGGGGAGCAAACAGGAUUAGAUACCCUUGUAGUC